rnacentral:rRNA from 1 species
UAAACGACUCUCGGCAACGGAUAUCUCGGCUCUCGCAUCGAUGAAGAACGUAGCGAAAUGCGAUACUUGGUGUGAAUUGCAGAAUCCCGUGAACCAUCGAGUCUUUGAACGCAAGUUGCGCCCGAAGCCUUCUGGUUGAGGGCACGCCUGCCUGGGCGUCACGCA